rnacentral:rRNA from 1 species
UAGGGAAUCUUCGGCAAUGGGGGGAACCCUGACCGAGCAACGCCGCGUGAGUGAAGAAGGUUUUCGGAUCGUAAAGCUCUGUUGUUAAGGAAGAACGAGUGUGAGAAUGGAAAGUUCAUGCUGUGACGGUACUUAACCAGAAAGGGACGGCUAACUACGUGCCAGCAGCCGCGGUAAUACGUAGGUCCCGAGCGUUGUCCGGAUUUAUUGGGCGUAAAGCGAGCGCAGGCGGUUAGAAAAGUCUGAAGUUAAAGGCAGUGGCUCAACCAUUGUAGGCUUUGGGAACUGUUUAACUUGAGUGCAGAAGGGGAAAGUGGAAUUCCAUGUGUAGCGGUGAAAUGCGUAGAUAUAUGGAGGAACACCGGUGGCGAAAGCGGCUCUCUGGUCUGUAACUGACGCUGAGGCUCGAAAGCGUGGGGAGCGAACAGG